AUUGAACGCUGGCGGCAGGCCUAACACAUGCAAGUCGAGCGGAGCGGCGGACGGGUGAGUAAUGCCUAGGAAUCUGCCUGGUAGUGGGGUAUAACGUCCGGAAACGGGCCCUCAUACCGCAUACUCUCAGAUGAGCUUCGGUGGGCUUAGCUAGUUGGUGGGGUAAAGGCCUACCAAGGCGACGAUCCGCAACUGGUCCGAGAGGAUGAUCAGUCACACUGGGACUGAGACACGGUCCAGACUCCUACGGGAGGCAGCAGUGGGGAAUAUUGGACAAUGGGCGAAAGCCUGAUCCAGCCAUGCCGCGUGUGUGAAGAAGGUCUUCGGAUUGUAAAGCACUUUAAGUUGGGAGGCGUUACCAACAGAAGAAGCACCGGCUAACUUCGUGCCAGCAGCCGCGGUAAUAC
rnacentral:rRNA from 1 species